GAUGAACGCUGGCGGCGCGCCUAACACAUGCAAGUCGAACGAGUGGCGAACGGGGGAGUAACACGUGCCCCACCCGCCCCCCCCACCGGGACAACCUCGGGAAACCGAGGCUAAUACCGGAUAGGAGGGGACGGGGUCGCGGCCAAUCAGGGAGACGGCGGGGCGAAGGCGCCCCGGGCCGACGACGGGUAGCCGGGCGGGGAGGCCGAUCGGCGACGUUGGGAGUGAGACACGGCUCGGACCCCUACGGGAGGCGGCAGUGGGGAAGAUUGCGAAAGGGGGGAAACCCUGACGCAGCGACGCGGCGUGCGGGAAGGAGGCCUUCGGGUCGUAAACCGAUUUCAGCAGGAAAGCGGUACCUGCAGAAGAAGCCCCGGCUAACUACGUGCCAGCAGCCGCGGUAAUUC
rnacentral:rRNA from 1 species